UCUCACUCUUACUCUCUCUCUUUCUCUGCUUAGCUCUCUCGACGGCCACCGUUAUUGGCUGCACUUUCAUGCUUACCGGAAGCAGAACCCGAUGCCGAUAACAAAAUGAGAACAUGACGAUGCCGAUUCAGCCACCACCGCAUGUUCCGAGGAUUGCCAGAAAGCUGAUCGUCGAAGUAGUGGAUGCACGCAAUCUCCUUCCAAAGGAUGGCCAGGGAAGCUCUAGCCCUUACGUUGUCGCUGACUUUGAUGGACAGAGGAAAAGGACCAGUUCCAGGUACAGGGAGCUUAACCCGGUUUGGAACGAGGAUCUUGAGUUCAUUGUAUCUGACCCCGAUAACAUGGAAUCCGAAGAGCUAGAGAUUGAGGUCUACAACGACAAGAAGUUCGGAAAUGGGAGUGGCCGGAAAAAUCAUUUCCUGGGCAGGGUUAAGCUCAACGGUACUCAAUUCUCCAGGAGAGGGGAUGAAGGUCUGGUGUACUAUACGUUGGAGAAGAAGAGCGUCUUUAGUUGGAUUAGGGGCGAAAUAGGCCUUAAGAUUUAUUACUAUGAUGAGAUGAUGGAGGAAGAAGGUCCCCCUCAGCAGCAAGAGCAGGAGCCACAGCAGCAAGUUGCAGAGCAUGAGAGGACGAAAUCUCCGGCCGUAGCAGUCGUAGAGGAGGGAAGAGUGUUUGAGGUUCCAGGCACGCAGGAACAUUGCGUGCCUGAAGUCCCUCAUUCACCGCACGUUGUGAUUGUUGAAGAAUCACCACCGCCGGUGGUCCAUGUACCGCCGGACCAACCAAUGCCAGAUAUGGCAGGACCGCCACCACCUAUAUCUGAAAUACCACCUCCAGAGGCCCGAAGAAUGCAAUCAGGAGGAAUACCGGGAGUGGAGAGAGUUACGAUUUUGAAGAGGCCCUAUGGGGAUUACUCUCCGAAAGUGAUAUCCAAAAAGUCCACCAAUGUCGAUUCUGAGAGGGUUCACCCCUUUGAGUUGGUGGAACCGAUGCAAUACCUAUUUGUCCGAAUAGUCAAGGCUCGUGGGUUGGCACCAAAUGAGAGUCCCUACGUGAAGAUUCGAGGGUCUUCGGGCCCCUUGCUCCGAUCAAAGCCUGCACGAUACCGUUCAAAUGAGCCCAAUGACUCUCCAGAGUGGAACCAAGUUUUCGCCCUCGGACACAAGGCUGACACACCAAGCGUGACACUAGAGAUCUCGGUUUGGGAUUCUCCAAACGAGCAAUUUUUGGGUGGUGUUUGCUUUGAUCUCUCUGACGUGCCUGUACGAGACCCUCCUGAUAGUCCCUUGGCCCCGCAAUGGUAUCGCCUCGAAGGUGGUGCCAUUGAACAAAAUUCAGGUAAAGUUUUUGGUGAUAUUCAACUUUCUGUCUGGAUUGGUACACAAGCAGAUGAUGCAUUCCCGGAGGCAUGGAGCUCCGACGUUCCCGACGUGGCAUACACACGCUCUAAAGUAUACCAGUCACCAAAGCUUUGGUACUUACGUGUGAACAUCAUUGAAGCUCAAGACCUUAACAUCCCUCCAAAUCUCCCCCCAUUAACGGCGCCGGAGAUUCGAAUAAAAGUACAAUUAGGAUUUCAAAGCCAACGAACAAGGCGAGGAUGCAUGAAUAACCAUAGCCUAUCCAUCCAUUGGAAUGAAGACCUGCUUUUUGUGGCCGGUGAGCCUUUGGAAGAAGAUCCCAUGAUUUUGCUCGUAGAAGAUCGUACGACCAAAGAAGCCGUAACACUGGGACACAUCGUAAUCCCACUGACCUCCAUUGAGCAACGAAUCGACGAGCGCCAUGUAACAUCAAAAUGGUUUCCCCUAGAAGGUUUCACAGGGGUUGGCCCCUACAGUGGACGUGUCCACCUGAGACUAUGCUUAGAAGGUGGCUAUCACGUGCUGGAUGAAGCGGCACAUAUAUGCAGUGACUUUCGAGCAACGGCAAAGCAGCUAUGGAAGCCGGCCAUUGGAAUUCUUGAACUAGGCAUCUUAGGGGCUCGCGAUCUCAUUCCCAUGAAACCCAGACCAGGAGGAAAGGGAUCCACUGAUGCUUACUGUGUGGCCAAGUAUGGGAAGAAAUGGGUUCGCACUCGAACCAUUAUAGACAGCUUUGAUCCACGUUGGAACGAGCAGUACACAUGGCAAGUGUAUGACCCUUGUACAGUCUUGACUAUCGGUGUGUUUGACAAUUGGCGAAUGUUUGUGGAUGCGUCAGAAGAUAAACCUGAUAGUCGCAUUGGGAAAGUGCGAAUCCGAGUAUCUACUCUGGAGAGUAAUAAGGUGUAUACAAAUUCAUAUCCUUUGUUGGUGUUAUCUAGAUAUGGGUUGAAGAAAAUUGGUGAGAUUGAACUAGCAGUUCGUUUUGCCUGCCCUUCUUUAUUGCCUGAUACUUGUGCACUUUAUGGGCAGCCAUUAUUUCCUAGAAUGCAUUAUCUUCGUCCACUUGGUUUGGUUCAACAGGAAGCAUUACGUGGAGCCGCCACAAAGAUGGUGGCUCAGUGGCUCUCUAAGGCUGAGCCACCAUUGGGGCAUGAGGUGGUUCGGUAUAUGUUGGACACAGACUCACACACUUGGAGCAUGAGGAAGAGCAAGGUCAAUUGGUGUCGGAUCGUGGCGGUUCUGGCAUGGGCCAUCGGGUUGGCGAAAUGGUUGGACGAUAUCAAAAGGUGGAGGAACCCAAUGACGACUGUUCUGGUCCAUGUUUUGUAUUUGGUACUUGUUUGGUAUCCGGAUUUGAUUGUCCCUACUGGGUUCUUAUACGUGGUUUUGAUUGGCAUAUGGUAUUAUCGGUUCAGACCUAAGAUACCAGCUGGAAUGGAUACCCGAUUGUCACAAGCUGAAACUGUUGACCCGGAUGAGUUAGAUGAGGAAUUUGACACAAUGCCUAGUUCAAGGCCACCUGAUAUAAUUCGAGUCCGAUAUGACAGGUUACGCAUGCUGGCUGCUCGGGUCCAAACAGUGUUAGGCCAUUUUGCAGCACAAGGAGAGAGGCUGCAAGCCUUGGUGAGUUGGAGGGAUCCAAGGGCCACAAAGCAAUUCAUUGUAGUGUGCAUGGCCAUUACAGUGAUAAUGUAUGCGGUGCCGCCAAAAAUGGUGGCUGUGGCUUUAGGAUUCUACUACCUGCGACAUCCCAUGUUUAGGGACCCAAUGCCUUCCGCUUCCUUGAACUUUUUCAGGAGACUGCCAAGCUUGUCUGAUCAAUUGAUGUAGAUUGAUUCACACUAUUAAGCGCACUCGUGUUAAAUAUACAAAUCCAAGGCAUUGCAAAGCACAUUUCUCUAUUGGUCAUGUUGAUGCUAGACUGGGUAGAGAAAGACAUCUCUCAACUUGGAAGUUUGGCUUGCUCAAAUGGAGAACUCUUUUUCUUGAAUGCAAAUUAGAUAACGGGUCACACAUGCACAUGUACAGGGGCAAGCAAAGAAAGAAAGAAGAUUAAGGACCAUUAAUUAAUGAUUUAGGAUUGAUGACUAUGAAGUUUAGCAGAGCCAUAUUCUGGUGCACCAUGAACAGAAAUGACCCUUCAUCUUCGUUCAUACAUUCCUCCCAUAUUGGCAUUCAGUGAUCAUAUUAUGGCCAAAUCAUUGAUGAAUUUAUGAUCACACGCAGGAUAAUCACAGAUCAGUGGCCAAGAGUAGAAAUUGUCUAUGGUGAAAUUCAAAACCAUGAAACAAUUUCAUAGCCCCCCCCCCCUUUUUUCUUUCUGUGUCGUCAACCUAAUUUGUAUUACAUAAAUCAACCUAUACAAGACCAGUACAGAGGCCAUUCAUGGAUCCAAACCAGAAAAUGGCUUCUCUAUAAAACUACCAGCAAGCCUAUAGUACGUAUUAUGACUUUGUGACUAAAAAUACAUAAACCAGAUCAGAAAUUUAAUUAUUAAUUUCUCCUCUACAAUAUUAUGAUCUUGUAAUUAAAAAGUAGAAUCCUCCUAUUUUAUUCUUACAAAUUUCAGGAAAAAAAUAUGAAUAAAAAAAAUUUAUACCCAUUCUCACUUCCAGGAAAAAAGAUGCUCGUAUGUUUCAUUAUAUGCUGUGACUUUUCAACUAAUGCGGCACAAAACGGAGUGGCUUGUCCAUAUGAUGGGCAAUACUCUUCGUAGUCAAUUGUACAGACGACCGACUUAUUUGCUUCCCUUACUUGAAACCGUAUACUUUUUAUUUUUAUAGCAUACAGCUUAAAUUAUAGCCUUAUGGGUAUGCUCCUUUCACGAUUGUAAUCAUUAGAUUAUAUUAUAUGGAUC